rnacentral:rRNA from 1 species
UACGAAGGGGGCUAGCGUUGCUCGGAAUCACUGGGCGUAAAGGGUGCGUAGGCGGGUCUUUAAGUCAGGGGGUGAAAUCCUGGAGCUCAACUCCAGAACUGCCUUUGAUACUGAAGAUCUUGAGUUCGGGAGAGGUUAGUGGAAUUCCCAGUGUAGAGGUGAAAUUCGUAGAUAUUGGGAAGAACACCAGUGGCGAAGGCGGCUAACUGGUCCAGCACUGACGCUGAGGUGCGAAAGCGUGGGGAGCAAACAGG